CAACUCUGAACGUCAUAUCAUUUGGUAGUUUUUAUUAGUUUUGUAGUAAGUCUAAUUUUUUCUCUUUUCAAUACCCCGACUCCCCCGGACUGAAAUUCACCCAAAAGGCCGUCGAACACAUUUGCAGACACAAGAGCGAAAAGGUACAUUGACCCUGGGAACCGGAUUUUCCGUCACACGCCGUCCACUCACACCACGGUCCCCCCUGCCCCCUUUCACGUUCACGUUCGCAGACAACCUCCAUCACUUUCAAGCCAGACAGAAUCUCCUCCUGCAGGUUAAAAGGUUUCUCCGUAAGUGUCUUUCUAUUUUAUCUCGGGGCGGCGAGCUUUUGAAACGAAAGCCCCUUUCCCGAAGCCUUUUUCUCACAUUUUCCCCCAUACCGCUACCGCGUACCCUUGGAUUUUUUAACCCGGCCACAACCUUGAAGUGUAUAUUCGUCCCACAUCCACCAAACCCGCUUGUACGAAGCUUUUUUUAAAGUUUAUUUCCGACUCCAAUCAAAAAUUUAAAACAAGAAACGAAAGUUUCCCGACACUGACACUCAUUGAAUUCUUCGCCAAAACUUUUCACGCCAGUUAUUGUAUGAGUCAAAAAACAGAAAAACCAGUGCUUUCAGGUCAACGGAUCAAGACCAGAAAAAGAGAUGAAAGGGAGAAAUAUGACCCUUCAGGUUUCCGUGAUUCAAUCCUUGUCGGCCUGGACAAGGCUGGUUCGGACCUCGAUGCAGUUUCGAAGUUUCUAGACGCAGCCGGGUCUAAAUUGGACUAUCGCCGUUAUGGCGAAGCCCUAUUUGACAUACUCAUUGCCGGUGGACUUCUUGUCCCCGGUGGCUCUGUUGCUCAAGACGGCGAUAAGCAUUGCAGAACCAAUUCCUGCAUAUUUGCAGCGCCAUCUGAUAUAGUUUCGCUGCGUAAUUAUGAACAGGUGUUCACUAAGCUUAUGCGGAGGUACAAGUACCUUGAGAAGAUGUUCGAAGAUGAGAUGAAGAAGGUACUUGUUUUCCUCAAAGGGUUUUCUGAAACGGAACGUAUGAAACUUGCACGUAUGACAGCAUUGUGGAUCUCCAACGGCUCCGUCCCACCUAAUGUCCUCCAAGUACUUAUAAAUGAGCAUCUGGUUAAAGACAGCCUUGCCUUGGAGUUCCUGUUGGAAGUCUUUGUCACUUGGAAGCAGGAAAAGGGUCUAAGCAGUCUUACUUCUUGCCUUAAACGAGGGGGCCUUGAGGGAAAACUGAUGGAUUUUUUCCCACUAAACAAAAGAACUGAGGAACAUUUAAGGGCAGCUUUUGAAGAUAAAGGACUUUCGGAAAUUGUUAAACUUCAUUUAGCACAGGCAAGUCAAGAAGCUAAACGUGAUCUUCAAAAAGAACUUGAAGAGAAAUUAGCCGACGGUCAGCCCCUAAAAGAGGUUGUUACUGAUAUAAGGGAGACUGCGGCCAAAAACCUCAUUUCAGAACAAGACAUUAUAACACUUAUUUGGGUUACGGUCAUGUCUCUGGCGGAGUGGAACAAGAAAGACGAGCUCGUCGCCGAUCAGGCGCUUAAGCAUUUACAAAAGUACACUCCUCUUUUCGAAGCGUUCACAGAUAACACAAAAUCAGAGAUGGCCCUCAUUCUUAAGAUUCAGGAAUAUUGUUACGACAACAUGAAUUUCAUGAAGAUAUUUCAAAAAAUCAUUCUCCUCUUCUACAAAAAGGAAGUAAUUUCUGAAGAGGUAAUUUUGAAAUGGUACCGAGAUGGCCAUUCAGUCAAAGGAAAAAUGAUGUUUCUAGAACAAAUGAAAAAGUUUGUAGAGUGGCUCCAAAGUGCAGAAGAAGAAUCUGAAACUGAUGAGGAGGAAGAUUAAAGAAGCUAAAAAAAAAGUUUAAAUGUACGCAGAAAAUAUAUUUUAAAAAAGGCACUUUGGAGGAAUAAAAUGGCACCGUAUAACCAUCCCAGUCCCCAUGAACACAAUACUUGGAGGAUUGAGACAUAUAACAUUUUAUGGAAAUUUAAGUAAACCAGGAAUUGUCUUGGUCUAAUUAUUAAAAAAAUAUUUUAAAAAAUAUGUUUUACUCUUAAUGAAACAGUGACAGUUAGUUUUUCCUAAGUGUUUGCAAAAUUAAAAUUCGCGUUAGAAUACUUGGUGGAAGGAUCAAUCUGUAAAUGUAACUUUCAAACAAUUUUGUUUAUUAUUUUUUUGACAGAUUAAAAACGACGCCCAGUUCCAACAGAUUGGUCUAUAACAAGGUAUUUUUUUAUGUAAGUCCCUAUCCUAAAUAAAUAAUUUGAACACAAGUAUCUUCAUCUCUGAUUGAGCAGGUGCCUUAAAUUUUGAAACUUACCUUUAAGCCCUCAUCCAAAAAAAUAAAGUAUCAUUAUGUUAGUAAUUUAAGAAAAUAUGUAUAAAGCGGCAUUGAAAUUGUUCUUGUAAUUUAUUUUCAUCCUCUCGACAUUGCACAGUUCUUAAUUGUAAACAGAACGAGUUUGAUUAAAUUCGUCGGACAGACUGCAAAAUUUAUUUCAAUAGUUUUUAUCUGCUUUUUUUUUACAUAAUAAUAAAAGAGUUUAUUGUAAUAUUACAUUUUAAGCUGUUUCGCUUCUAAAGAAAAACUGGCCUUUUAUAAAAAGACCUUUCACCAGUUUGAAAAAUUUGGCUUUAACUAGUGGGACUCGGUGAUAUUUUAAGACUGAUGACACAUCAUAACAGAAACAAGGUGAAGGAAGGGAUUGCAUUGGUUUAUAGAUAAAUAUCUAGGGCUUCCUAUUAAGGAGGACAAAAUCAAAUAUUAAAAAAAAGAACAAAAUAUGUCGAGAAAUGAAAAAUAAUAUAUAAUUAGUGCCAAUUUAUAUAUAAAGAAGAAAUAUGUAAAAAAAGCUAUGGUAUUUAUAUAUAAAAUGAAGUUAUUUUUUAUUGGUCUUGAAUGGAUUUUUGCUAAAUUUAUUUUUGUGUUAUGAUAAAAACCAGCUCAAUGUAGAAACGAAUAAAUUAUAAAUGUCGUGACCCCCCUCUCUUGUUAUUAAUCGAACGUUUUUAAUAUUGUAAUAGGUUUAAAAGUGAAAUGUGAAAGAACAAACAGUAUUAUUAGAUUAAUCGUUUCUUGAUGUGACAGUAUCCCGAGCGACACUGACAUUUCAUCAGCACAAACAGGGUUUUUCACCAUUGAGGGCAUUUAGCCGUUUAGAAGUACACUCGAAACGAUUCAGCAAUUGUUAGCUAUUAAUUGCGAUUGUUUGUGUCUAAAUUAAAAAAAAAAAAAAAAAUGGAUCAUGGCCGCUAUUUUGCAAAA